GAUCAUGGCUCAGAUUGAACGCUGGCGGCAUGCCUUACACAUGCAAGUCGAACGGUAACGCGGGGCAACCUGGCGACGAGUGGCGAACGGGUGAGUAACGCAUCGGAACGUGCCCAGUAGUGGGGGAUAGCCCGGCGAAAGCCGGAUUAAUACCGCAUACGACCUAAGGGUGAAAGCGGGGGAUCGCAAGACCUCGCGCUAUUGGAGCGGCCGAUGUCAGAUUAGGUAGUUGGUGAGGUAAAGGCUCACCAAGCCUUCGAUCUGUAGCUGGUCUGAGAGGAUGAUCAGCCACACGGGCACUGAGACACGGGCCCGACUCCUACGGGAGGCAGCAGUAAGGAAUAUUGGGCAAUGGACGAAAGUCUGACCCAGCCAUGCCGCGUGAAGGAUGAAGGUCCUCUGGAUUGUAAACUUCUUUUUUCUGGGGAGAAAUGCACUUUUUCUAAAGUGUUUGACGGUACCAGAAGAAUAAGCACCGGCUAACUCCGUG
rnacentral:rRNA from 1 species